GGUGCUGUGGGGUAACGGUUAACCUUAGGCUAUAUAAGUUAUCAACAAUUUCCACGUAUGCAUAUUGUGUAGCCUAGUUGCGAGUUCGAAUCUUGCCAGCGCCA